rnacentral:rRNA from 1 species
GAUGAACGCUAGCUACAGGCUUAACACAUGCAAGUCGAGGGACCGGCGCACGGGUGAGUAACACGUAUCCCACCUGCCCUUUACUCGGGGAUAGCCUUUCGCAAGAAAGAUUAAUACCCGAUAUGAAGGAUGGGGAUGCGUUCGAUUAGGUUGUUGGUAAGGUAACGGCUCACCAAGCCUUCGAUGGAUGGGGGUUCUGAUAGGAAGGCCCCCGAGAUUGGAGUCGAGACACGGUCCAAACUCGUACGGGAGGCAGCAGUGAGGAAUAUUGGUCAAUGGGCGCUAGCCUGAACCAGCCAAGUAGAGUGAAGGAUGAAGGCUUAUUGGUCGUAAACUUCUUUUAUAUAAGAAUAGGUAUUAUAUGAAUAAGGAUCGGCUAACUCCGUGCCAGCCGCCGCGGUAAUAC